CGAUCUGCUGCGGGCAGAUGAAGUGGAUGUGCGUGUCGAUGCCGCCGGCCGUGACGAUCAUGCCUUCGCCGGCGAUCACUUCGGUGGCCGCGCCGAUGGGAAUGGUGACCCCGGGCUGUACGUCGGGGUUGCCGGCCUUCCCGAUGCCGCUGAUGUAGCCGCCCUUGAUGCCGAUGUCGGCCUUGACGAUGCCCCAGUGGUCGAGGAUCAGCGCGUUGGUGAUCACGGUGUCGGCCACCUCGGCGGCGGGCCGCUGGCUCUGGCCCAUGCCGUCGCG
rnacentral:sRNA from 1 species